GUUUUAAUAGCUUAUAUACUAGAGCAUGGCGCUGAAGAUGCCAUAGAGGCAGUUUAGCCUUAGAACA
rnacentral:tRNA from 1 species